GGAAUUGUAGUGAAAGUUGUGAUUCAGGGCUGUACGAAUAUACUAAGGGCUGUUAUGUACUUUGUAUUAAAUGUUUCAAAGAUGGAAGUUAUGGAGAAAACAAGUCCAAGGAUGACUUUAAGUUGAUUGACAAUGUUGAUAGCAGCAGUACAAAUGAAGCUGUUUGGACUGAGGCAGAGACUUUACUUCUUUUAGAAUCUAUUCUGAAGCAUGGGGAUGACUGGGAUCUUGUUGCUCAAGAUGUUCAAACCAAGACCAAACUUGAUUGCAUUUCUAAGUUAAUUGAGCUGCCAUUUGGGGAUCUUAUAUUGAGUUCUGCAUAUAGAAAUGGUAAUUUGAGUGUACCAGGUGGGGACGUAAACAACUCAAAACAAGUUCCAUUAUCUUCAUCUGAACAUCAAGACACAGUAAAGGAUGAGGAUUUAAUGCUUGACCAGACAAAUGUGAAUGAACAGAAUGGAGAUGCAGUGGAUGAAGGACCUCCAUUGAAAAGAAAACGAACCACUUUUCUUUCAGAUGCUGGUAGUUCUUUGAUGAAACAGGCAGCUCUUAUCUCAACCAUAACCGGCCCUGAUAUUGCAGCUGCUGCAGCUGAGGCUGCUUUUGCAGCACUUUGUGAUCAAACCUCAUGUCCAAGGGAGAUUUUUGAUGGCAAGGAUGAUUUUCCAACUAAUGGGUUGUGGUCUCCUAUUGUCCAUUCAAAGCCAGAAAGAGCCCAUCAGGUUGAAGACUCAGAGAUAAAGGAGAGGUCCACUCAAUCAGAAACUCAGGAGACAUCUCCAGGGCAGAAUAACAUACCUUUAACUUUGCGACUUAGAACUGCAAUUGCAACAGCUCUAGGGGCAGCUGCUGCUCAUGCCAAACUAUUGGCUGAUAAGGAAGACCAAGAAAUUGAAAAUUUGGUGACAACAAUAAUUGAGACACAGUUGAGGAAAUUGCAUUACAAAAUCAACUGUUUUGACAAUCUGGAGCUCAUAAUGGAGAAGGAAUAUGCAGAAUUGGAGGAUUUGAAAGAGUCAUUAAUUGAGGAGAGGAUUGAUGUCUUACAGAGGGCAAUUGCUGCUGGGAUGCCUAAAUGGCGGGAUCAUACUUGUGUGAAAUCAUAGUGGUAGUUUAUUUUGAUGUAGCCCUAAUGUGUUGUAAAGAAGUGGUAAAAUGGACUAGAUUUAACAUUGAUUUUUCUGGAAUAUCAUUGUGCGCUAGAGUCUAAUUUUCCAGUGUAUCAAAUUUCUUAACCCACUGUAGCUGAAUUUGUAAUUAGGCUGAUGAACAUAAACCGGUAUGCAACACUGCGACUAAUUAAUUAUAACCCCCGGG
rnacentral:misc_RNA from 1 species